rnacentral:tRNA from 1 species
GCGGAGGUAGCCCAGUGGAUCAAGGCAGUGGAUUGUGAAUCCGCCUCGCGCAGGUUCAAUUCCUAUCGUUCGCC